GUGUUUAGUUUUAUAACAAAGGGGAGGGGCCUAAUUCAAAACUUCACUGGGCGCCCCACAAGGCCUCUGCAACGGAUUCAACGCGGACUCUGCGGGAGGGAAGAAAGCAGACUGUUGCCGACAUUUUCUCAGCAGCAUUGAACGCCUUGAACGAUCCUUGUGUUGUGAAGAUGCUGUGGAAGUAUAACCUGGCUGCUCAUUCUCUGGCAGGAUUCUUCGAAAGCUUUACGGUGGACAGAUUCUGCAGGUUCUGCAUGGCAACAAGGGACGAGAUGCAAGCCAAAGAGAUGACUGCAAACCAGAAAAUGACCAUGAGAGUCAUUCUAACAGAGGCAGAUAUAAGGAAAGUCAUCCUACAUUCAAGGCCUUCUACAGUAAAAGACUUGAUAACCAAGCUUCGAGAGUCACUGGGACUUCAAUACAACUUCAGUCUCCAAUUCCAAGACCCUGAAUUCAAUAAUGAACUAUGUAAUCUAACAGAUCUUCAAGAACUUCCAGAAAAACCAACCAUUAAAGUCCUGCCUGUCUUUGACCUGGUGCCUGUCUCAUCUGAUGACGUCUUUAGCGACACAAGUACUGCAGAUACAGAGAUACUCUCACAUUCACCUCAGGAUCGACGUGAACCAUGGCCAGAAUUUUUUGACAUUCCAACAUUUUCUGUUGAUGUGGAGUAUAGACUGAGGCAAGCAGAUUUGCUGUUUAUGAGUGAAGGAACACACCUUAAGGUCUCAAAAGAGCUGAAACAUGAGAUACUAGAGAGACUGGCAGAAAGCAUGUAUAGCUACACAGCAUACCCAACUGCUGCUCAGUUUGAAAGUGUUGCAACAGCACUGAUAAACAAACACCCCUGUCUCCAGGAGCGAGGCUCUGUCACUCGCUGUUGUGGUUGGAAAAAUAGUCUAAAGCAUAAAAUGGGAAAUUAUAGAACAAAGCGCAGGCAAUCAGGAUGCCUUGAUGUUGCAGUAAAUGCCGGUAAGCGGGGAAGGCAUUCAUCAGAUGGACAACCAGCAAACAAGCGGAUAAAAAAGGCAAAGAAAGGUGAAAUCAACUACUUGCCCAACUUUCCGGAUGGAUUUGAUCAAGCUGCCCUGGAAGAGGCCCGUAAGGACUUGGCUGAUGAAAUGCAGAAGAGAACCCCAAAUGGACUUCUUGUAAAACAAAAGAUGGAUCAGACUUUUGCUUUGAGAAGAAAAGAGGUUGUGGACUCUGAACCCCCAUAAACAUGAUGGUGAAACGCUGGCCUGCCCUCUUCACAGAAGAUCAGGUGUUCAUGGAGUUCAGCAGGAUUGUGGGCAAGAACCUCAAGCAGGAAUUUUAUGAGAACAUCGAUCGGCACAGUCCUCGUUUCCUUGAGUUAUUUCGUUCCAAGAGAGGGAAUGUUGGACAGUUGUUGACUCAGAUUUCACAACAGACCAAUACUACUGACCCAACUGCAAUCCGGACACAGGUGCUCAGAGGGCUUCCAAUCAUCCUGGGGGACAAUCCUUCAACCUUCUUCAAAGCAGGCUUUGAAUCAGAUGCUGAUUUUUUCCGUGACCUUGACAUCGGGAUUCUUCUCACUGAGCGUGAAGAGGCUGUGCUCACAUCUGCCCAGCAUCCAAGUCCAACCUUGUUGAAAAUUAUCAUUGAGGGAGAAGUCGUGAUGGAAAACAUCCAAGAUCUGCCUAAAGCAAUGUGCAUUCUGUUUGGACUCACGUAUGCACUCCAUCUUAACUAUCCUAAAAGUAUGAAGCUGACCUUUCUGUUCAUCCAACAGAUUUUGCUCUCAUUAGGCCACACUGACCUAAAGCCAAAGAUACAAUCUUUGAAAAAUCAGCUUACAAUGUAAAGUGAUGUCAUCUCUACUGUGACAUGUUUGUUUUUUUUCCUCACCUUUUUGGUUCUGUAAAACAGCCCAACAAAAAGGCACAAAACGCAGAAACAGACACAUUCAGCACCCA